rnacentral:rRNA from 1 species
UACGGAGGGUGCAAGCGUUAUCCGGAUUCAUUGGGUUUAAAGGGUGCGCAGGCGGGAUUUUAAGUCAGUGGUGAAAGCCCGAGGCUCAACCUCGGAACUGCCAUUGAUACUGAAAUUCUUGAAUGUAGUUGAUGUGGGCGGAAUGUGCCAUGUAGCGGUGAAAUGCUUAGAUAUGGCACAGAACACCGAUCGUGAAGACAGCUCACAAAGCUAUUAUUGACGCUCAGGCACGAAAGCGUGGGGAUCAAACAGG